AUGAACGACCUGACACACCCAGAAGCCUCUUCCCAGACCACACGGUGCACACCCCACUCACACAGUGCACGCACCCCACUCACACAGUGCACGCACCCCACUCACAGUGCACGCACCCCACUCACAGUGCACGCACCCCACUCAGUGCACGCACCCCACUCACACAGUGCACGCACCGCAUUCACAGUGCACGCACGCCACUCACACAGUGCACGCACCCCACAGAGUGCACGCACCCCUCACAGUGCACACACCGCACUCAGUGCACGCACCCCACUCACACAGUGCACGCACCACACAGUGCACACACCCCACUCAGUGCACGCACCACACACAGUGCACGCACCCCACUCACACAGUGCACGCACCCCACUCACAGUGCACACACCGCACUCAGUGCACGCACCCCACUCACAGUGCACACCGCACUCAGCGCACGCACCCCACUCACACAGUGCACGCACCACACACAGUGCACGCACCCCACUCAGUGCACGCACCCCACUCACAAUGCACGCACCCCACUCAGUGCACACACCCCACUCACACAGUGCACGCACCCCACUCAGUGCACACACCGCACUCAGUGCACGCACCCCACUCACACAGUGCACGCACCACACAGUGCACGCACCCCACUCAGUGCACGCACCCCACUCACAAUGCAUGCACCCCACUCAGUGCACGCACCCCACUCACACAGUGCACGCACCCCACUCACAGUGCACACACCGCACUGUCAGUGCACACACCCCACUCACACAGUGCACACACCCCACUCAGUGCACGCACCCACUCACAAUGCACACACCCCACUCAGUGCACGCACCCCACUCACAGUGCACGCACCCCACUCACAGUGCACGCACCGCACUCAGUGCACGCACCCCACUCACACAGUGCACACACCGCACUCAGUCAGUGCACACACCCCACUCAGUGCACGCACCCCACUCACAGUGCACACACCCCACUCAGUGCACACACCCCACUCACACAGUGCACGCACCCCACUCACAGUGCACACACCGCAGUCAGUGCACGCACCCCACUCACACAGUGCACGCACCACACACAGUGCACGCACCCCACUCAGUGCACACACCCCACUCACACAGUGCACGCACCCCACUCAGUGCACACACCCCACUCACACAGUGCACGCACCCCACUCACAGUGCACACACCGCACUCAGUGCACACACCCCUCACACAGUGCACGCACCCCACUCACAGUGCACACACCGCACUCAGUCAGUGCACACACCCCACUCAGUGCACGCACCCCACUCACAGUGCACACACCCCACUCACACAGUGCACGCACUCCACUCACAGUGCACACACCCCACUCACAGUGCACGCACCCCACUCACAGUGCACACACCCCACUCACACAGUGCACGCACCCCACUCAGUGCACACACCCCACUCACACAGUGCACGCACCCCACUCACAGUGCACACACCGCACUCAGUGCACACACCCCUCACACAGUGCACGCACCCCACUCACAGUGCACACACCGCACUCAGUCAGUGCACACACCCCACUCAGUGCACGCACCCCACUCACAGUGCACACACCCCACUCACACAGUGCACGCACUCCACUCACAGUGCACACACCCCACUCACACAGUGCACGCACCCCACUCACAGUGCACACACCCCACUCACACAGUGCACGCACCCCACUCAGUGCACACACCCCACUCACACAGUGCACGCACCCCACUCACAGUGCACACACCGCACUCAGUGCACACACCCCUCACACAGUGCACGCACCCCACUCACAGUGCACACACCGCACUCAGUCAGUGCACACACCCCACUCAGUGCACGCACCCCACUCACACAGUGCACGCACCCCACUCACAGUGCACACCCCACUCACACAGUGCACGCACUCCACUCACAGUGCACACACCCCACUCACACAGUGCAUGCACCCCACUCACAGUGCACACACCCCACUCACACAGUGCACGCACCCCACUCAGUGCACGCACCCCACUCACAGUGCACGCACCCCACUCACACAGUGCACGCACCCCACUCACACAGUGCACACACCGGAUGCUUUGCUGGCCGUGCUCUGCUGCUAAACAUUUCUAA
rnacentral:lncRNA from 1 species